AGACUGAUGCUAGAUCUGCUCUCUCCGGCAGGUGGAUCUGUUCCAGCUUCAGGUCAACACACUGAGACGGUACAAGAGGCACUACAAGAUCCAGACCAGACCUGGACUCAACAAAGCCCAGCUCGCAGAGACCGUGAGCCGUCACUUCCGCAAUAUUCCAGUCAAUGAGAAGGAGACGCUCACGUACUUUAUUUAUAUGGUGAAGAGCAGUAAAAGCCGGCUGGACCAGAAGUCAGACGGGAGCAAACAAGUGGAAUAAUGUUCCCUGGCGAUCUCAGAGUGGCAGAAAGCCAUGAUUGAUGACGUGCAGAUGUUAGCUGGCUUUGCAAUUCCUCUUUGAAUGCUUACUGUGUUUUUUGUCCAUACGGGAGUCACUACAGUCACAUGCUUGUGUAGUGAUGAUGAUGUGCCAAACCUCACAGUAACACCAUUAAAGCGCUGGCGUUUGAGUGAAUCCAGCGUCUCUAAUGCUCCGAUUUCACCGCUGGUCCAGUGAGGACCUGAUUGAAAGCAUGACAGAGACUGAAUGACUGCAGAUCUGCUCUCUCGUGUCAAAUGUUUUGUGCUUCUCACACUUAAACUAAUGCCGAUCCCCCAGAAGAGCCGCGAUACGUUACCUGAGGCUUUCUGUUGUGUUCAUCUGCUCUGUUUCACAUCCGUCUCUGCUUUUAUAUGACUGCUGUGUAUCUGCUCUAUAUGGUGUUUUUUGGUAGGUUGUAAUGUUAGUUUUCUUCCUUUCUUUGUUUGAAAUAAUCAGUCUAAAUACAGUUCUUGUGGCACUACUCA